rnacentral:lncRNA from 1 species
GGGAAACGCGUCGCCAGCCGGGCGCUGGGAGCUCCGCGCGCUCAGCGUUCGCAGAGUCGCGCCAGAGAAGAUCCGAGGCUGGGAGCGACCGGUGGAGAGCAGCACGAGUCAAAGGUUGGAGCCUCAGUGGAAUUCAUUUGCAUUUUCCACUAAGUGCACUAUCCUCUGCCCUGGAUCCGGCAGACGGAGCUGUGACCCUGUCCCCAGGCCCUGUCCCCUGAAGCUGUGAGAAAGAAGAGCAACAAUGCAUUCUUCUUCUCUGAAAAACGCAUCCUGGAUCUGGGUGCAGAGGUUUCAGAGAAAUCCGUGUGAGGGGUGGACACUACUCCUAUCCGACUGGUGUAAGAAGAGGCCACAUGCGGGGACAUCAAAGGUGUUAGUGUCCAGAGGAUGACGCAGGGAGAAGGUGGCCAUUUGUGAACCAAGAAGAAGGACAACAGAAGACAGCAACCCUGCUGGUACCUUGAUCUUGGAUUUCCAACCUUGAGGAACUGUGAAAAAAUACAUUUCCGUGGUAUAAGCCACCUAGGCUGUGGUACUUGGUUACAUCGGCCCCGACAGACGAAUUGCAUGGUGGUGGUGUUGGCAGUGACACAAAUGAACCAUAGGUAGCGUUUAUCAAGCACUUACUGUGUUCUUUUCUCAAAUCAUCCAACCCUCAUGUCCACCCCAAGUCACCUGUGCAGUGCAGGGUUCCAGGAAGUAGUGACAGCAGACUGGCACUGGUGCUUUUGCCCUGACCUCUACUGUACGUGCCCUGGCACCUGGAGAGUACCAGGGACCAUGCUAGCUCCUUACAGCCAGUCUUUCUGGCCCUCCCAACAACUCUCCACAUUGACUCCAGUGUCCACUUUUCAGUUAAAGAAAGUGCAGUUCAGAGUAGCCCAUAGGCACGCACUGAGUGGCUGCUUUAACAAAUUACCAUGACCUUUGUGGUUUGAAACAACAGAAAUUUAUUCUCACAGUUCCAGAGGCCCAAAGUCUAGAACCAAGGUGUGUCAGGGCUGUGGUCCUUUUGGAAGCUCUAUGAGGAUUCUUUCUUUCCUCUUCCGGCUUCCAGCGGCUGCUGGCAUUCCUUGGCUUGUGGCUGCAGCACUCUUGUCUCUGUCUUCACAUCACCUUCUCCUGAGUGUCCCCUUUUUCUCUGUCUCUAAUGUCCUCUGCAUCCCACUUAGGAAGGGGCAGCCAUGGCCUCUAUGAGCCCACUGGACAACCUGGGAUAAGUGUCUGCCUGCAAGACCUUCCGC